ACUAUAUUACUGGAUCUCGAUAAGAUGAUAGUCUGUCUUGCUUGACAAAGAUCUUCAAAAUCUUUGACCUCAAAUCAGGUAGGAAUACCCGCUGAACUUAAGCAUAUCAAUAAGCGGAGGAAAAGAAACCAACAGGGAUUGCCUUAGUAGCGGCGAGUGAAGCGGCAAAAGCUCAAAUUUGAAAUCUGGGGUCUUCGACCUCCGAGUUGUAAUUUGAAGAAAGUAUCUUUGGAAAUGGCCUUUUCCUAAGUUCCUUGGAACAGGACUUCAUAGAGGGUGAGAAUCCCGUAUGGAGAGGUGACUAUUUCUAUGUAAAGUGCUUUCGACGAGUCGAGUUGUUUGGGAAUGCAGCUCUAAGUGGGUGGUAAAUUCCAUCUAAAGCUAAAUAUUGGCGAGAGACCGAUAGCGAACAAGUACAGUGAUGGAAAGAUGAAAAGAACUUUGAAAAGAGAGUGAAAAAGUACGUGAAAUUGUUAAAAGGGAAGGGCUUCAGAUCAGACUUGAUGUUUUGUGAUCCAUCAUCCUUUUUGGUUGGUGCACGCACUUUUCAUUGGGCCAACAUCGAUUUGAGUGGUAGGAUAAUGCCAUUGGAAUGUAGCUUCAUUCGUGAAGUGUUAUAGACUUUGGUGAUACUGCCCAUUCGGAUCGAGGACUGCGUCUUUGACUAG
rnacentral:rRNA from 1 species